GGGACCAUCAGUUGAGCAGUCAAUACCGUGGUCUUGCGGAAAUCCUACGCGGCCUGAGCCGCACCACGCGGGACGCCGCGUUCCAGGUUCGAUUCCUGGGUGGCCCACCA
rnacentral:tRNA from 1 species